UACAGAGGUCCCAAGCGUUGUUCGGAUUCAUUGGGCGUAAAGGGUGCGUAGGCGGCGCGGUAAGUCGGGUGUGAAAUCUCGGGGCUUAACUCCGAAACUGCAUUCGAUACUGCCGUGCUUGAGGACUGGAGAGGAGACUGGAAUUUACGGUGUAGCGGUGAAAUGCGUAGAUAUCAGGAGGAACACCGGUGGCGAAGGCGGGUCUCUGGGCCGUAACUGACGCUGAGGAGCGAAAGCGUGGGGAGCGAACAGG
rnacentral:rRNA from 1 species